GACGAACGCUGGCGGCGUGCUUAACACAUGCAAGUCGAGCGGAAAGGCCCUUCGGGGUACGUCGAGCGGCGAACGGGUGAGUAACACGUGAGUAAUCUGCCUCUAGCUCUGGGAUAGCUCCGGGAAACCGGGAUUAAUACCGGAUACGACCACUCAAGACAUCUUCUGUGGUGGAAAGAAUUUCGGCUAGAGAUGAGCUCGCGGCCUAUCAGCUUGUUGGU
rnacentral:rRNA from 1 species